UCAGUUGUGAAAGUUUGCGGCUCAACCGUAAAAUUGCAGUUGAUACUGGCUGUCUUGAGUACAGUAGAGGUGGGCGGAAUUCGUGGUGUAGCGGUGAAAUGCUUAGAUAUCACGAAGAACUCCGAUUGCGAAGGCAGCUCACUGGACUGCAACUGACACUGAUGCUCGAAAGUGUGGGUAUCAAACAGGAUUAGAUACCCUGGUAGUCCACACAGUAAACGAUGAAUACUCGCUGUUUGCGAUAUACAGUAAGCGGCCAAGCGAAAGCAUUAAGUAUUCCACCUGGGGAGUACGCCAGCAACGGUGAAACUCAAAGGAAUUGACGGGGGCCCGCACAAGCGGAGGAACAUGUGGUUUAAUUCGAUGAUACGCGAGGAACCUUACCCGGGCUUAAAUUGCAUUUGAAUAUAUUGGAAACAGUAUAGCCGUAAGGCAAAUGUGAAGGUGCUGCGUGGUUGUCGUCAGCUCGUGCCGUGAGGUGUCGGCUUAAG
rnacentral:rRNA from 1 species